CCCUUAGACGUUCUGGGCCGCACGCGCGCUACACUGACCAGUGCAACAAGCAUCCGUCCUUGGCCGACAGGCUCGGGCAAUCUUUGAACGCUGUUCGUGAUUGGGAUAGACCUUUGCAAUUAUGGGUCUUCAACGAGGAAUUCCUAGUAAACGCAAGUCAUCAGCUUGCAUUGAUUACGUCCCUGCCCUUUGUACACACCGCCCGUCGCACCUACCGAUUGAAUGGUCCGGUGAAAUCUCGGGACGGCGGCUUGGUCGCUUGCGUCCGACUGCUGAAACUUGAUUAAACCAUNUNAUUUAGNGGAAGGUGAANUCGUANCA
rnacentral:rRNA from 1 species